GAUGAACGCUGGCGGCGUGCCUAAUACAUGCAAGUCGAGCGAACGGACGAGAAGCUUGCUUCUCUGAUGUUAGCGGCGGACGGGUGAGUAACACGUGGAUAACCUACCUAUAAGACUGGGAUAACUUCGGGAAACCGGAGCUAAUACCGGAUGAUAUUUUGAACCGCAUGGUUCAAAAGUGAAAGACGGUCUUGCUGUCACUUAUAGAUGGAUCCGCGCUGCAUUAGCUAGUUGGUAAGGUAACGGCUUACCAAGGCAACGAUGCAUAGCCGACCUGAGAGGGUGAUCGGCCACACGGGAACUGAGACACGGUCCGGACGCCUACGGGAGGCAGCAGUAGGGAAUCUUCCGCAAUAGGCGAAAGCCUGACGGAGCAACGCCGCGUGAGUGAUGAAGGUCUUCGGAUCGUAAAACUCUGUUAUUAGGGAAGAACAUAUGUGGAAGUAACUGUGCACAUCGUGACGGUACCUAAUCAGAAAGCCACGGCUAACUACGUG
rnacentral:rRNA from 1 species